GAUGAACGCUGGCGGCGUGCCUAAUACAUGCAAGUCGAGCGAACGGACGAGAAGCUUGCUUUUCUGAUGUUAGCGGCGGACGGGUGAGUAACACGUGGAUAACCUACCUAUAAGACUGGUAUAACUUCGGGAAACCGGAUCUAAUACCGGAUAAUAUUUUGAACCGCAUGGUUCAAAAGUGAAAGACGGUCUUGCUGGCACUUAUAGAUGGAUCCGCGCUGCAUUAGCUAGUUGGUAAGGUAACGGCUUACCAAGGCAACGAUGCAUAGCCGACCUGAGAGGGUGAUCGGCCACCCUGGAACUGAGACACGGUCCAGACUCCUACGGGAGGCAGCAGUAGGCAAUCGUCCGCAAUGGGCGAAAGCCUGACGGAGCAACGCCGCGUGAGUGAUGACGGUCUUCGGAUCGUAAAACUCUGUUAUUAGGGAAGAACAUAUGUGUAAGUAACUGUGCACAUCUUGACGGUACCUAAUCAGAAAGCCACGGCUAACUACGUG
rnacentral:rRNA from 1 species